CGGCGAGCACAUGAAGAACAUGCCACCACGCACCCGUCUGCCUCUCGGAACGUGCCUCAGCCCUCCCCACAGCUCUCCCACUUUUUGGAGGACCACAAUACUGCUCUCCAGUGCAGAUGUGCCUCUCACCACCACCACCCCCCUCCCACCAAGGAUCUCUCCUCUGGACUUAGAGAGAAGAGGAAAAGGCAGAUUUUGAGAAAUGAAAAUGAUUUAAGGAUGUCCCCGCUGCCUCUCUCUGCUGCCCUCCUCUGUAAUACCGAAGCAUUUGCAGAAAGGAAUAGCAAGUAAAUAAAUAAUAAAACCAAACUCUUCAGCCACAAGAGCAGCAGAGGAGGAACCGGGGAUCCUUUCCAGACUGUACAGACUGACAGAGAAAAACUUAGUGGAGAAAGGUCCCAGUGUGGGCAGGGCUGCUGAUGGAAUCACUGCAGGGCUGCAAACCCUGUGCCCAAAGCAGCUCAGACCCACAGCACCAGCACAGCUGGGCCCCACAUUACAAGGUACCCACUAGGUGUGGAGUUCAGGGGAUGGGGGGAGGAUGGGAGCACACAGAGGGGUUUGGAUAUGUAGGACUCCCUGAGUCUUUCCUUACAUUGCGCUGCUGCCAUGGGGAGAGAUGGACAGGGACCCCUGCACCCCUCUUUUCCCACCACCACGUGACAGAAGCCCAGAAGGCAGGGAGGUGGGGAAUGAGUCCUCUUAGACAAAAUCCAUCAGAGCAAACCAGAUCCCAAGUCACUCAGCCAGCUGUGUCACCAGAGGGGACUCUGUGCUAGCCAGCAUGUCUAAAACCCACAUCCCUUUGCCCCCUCCCUUUCCAACAAGCCAGGGAUACCCCAAGCCCUGGCUGCUCCAAACAGAACAACCAGGACAGAGCAAACCCUCAGCUCCAUGGGCAGAUCCUCUCCUGCCUCCCCCCAGCAGCUCUGCUUUGGGCACUUACUUUGCAGCGAGGUAAGAGGCUGUGCAACUUCUCCUUGCAGCCCCACCUUCAUUGGCAUUCAUUUGUCCCAGCAGCUUACAACAAUGUCUACUUCUUUAAAAAAAAAAUAACUAAAAACAAUAAUAGAAAGCAAAAGGAGCAAAACCAAACCAAAAACACCCCAGGCCCUUUCCUGCCUCCUUCCCCUUCAGCCUUUAGGGUUUCUCCUGUGCUGGGAGCCAGUGGGUGCCUGCCAGGCUCAGGGGUGCCCACAAAGCCUGAGAUCCCCCUGAAUUCAGCAGGUAAUCCUUUCCCGGUGUGCACACCAGCAGGUUCCCCUCGGGUCGCUCCGCUCGUGGGUCAUUGAUGCUGCAGGGAUCCAGAAGAGGAGAUGGGUUGGGAGCGGGAGCUGGGAGGGACAUGGAUGUGAAAGAGGUGGAAAUGGUAAGGCUGCCCUCGUCCUUUUAAAUAGUUGCACAGCCAGGGGACUCCGCUCGCUGGCUGGGGUGCCCCAGGUAUCCGGUUUCAGCAAACAUCAGCUAAUGAGCGCAGAUCCAGCCUCCGAGGGGCAGGUUCAGCGCUGCCGUAACGCACGGGAGGAUGGGGGCACCGGGGCUCCCCUAGUGGGGAAGGGGCUGCAGGCAGCGGGCAGGGCGCUGGGCAUCGCAACUAAGCACCCCCGGGGCUCUCCCCACGUCCCCCCCUCAGGCUUUCAAGGAGCGGCAGAACCAAAUCCCCUCCGGCUGGUUGUGAGCACUGACCUCGGGUACCCCCCGAAAUAAAUAGAGCCACUGACCCGCGUCCCUGAACCUGGAGCGGGAGGGGAACGCUCUCAUGUUAAGACAACUCAAGGAUCCACUGGCCUGACUCAGCAAAGCGGGUUUCACUCAAAAAAGUGACCCCAAAGUGCAGCCAAAGGCUAUGGGCUCCCCCAUAAAUCAGACCUCCUGCUCCUCUUCUGUUACCACGCGUGCUGAGGACUUCUCCUCUUUAAUAUGUGCAUUUGGCUGAGCCCACGGAUGGGCUGUGGUUUUGCAUCUCCCAGUUUCUAAAGGCACAAGAUUUUAUUAAUACCUUUGCUCUAAAACAUCUGCACUUUGCUUUCUUGCUGUAAUUGACAAAGCUUUAAGUAACAACAAUAGAACGCCAAGGAAUGAAAGAAGCCAUAUUACAAGUGGGGUAAAUAACCAGCAUCCUCAUGGCCUGCUUUCCUCCAGGGAACCUGUCCAGCAACGAGCAUCCAAAUCACACAUCCACAAACCUGCAUGGAGCUCCUGUACAGCAAACCCUGAGUGCUCACCCAGCCCAGCUCUGUGACUCUGGGGGCAACAGGCAUUCACACACUUGUCAGAAACCACAUCAAAUUUCUAUUUUCUCAGCUAUUUAUUUUUCCCCUCCACAGCCGUUUCUUGCAUGUUUUUCAGUCAUGCGUUCUUUGCUCAGAAACACAUCCUAGCCAAGACUGUUUAAUAUAUAUACAUACAUAUAUAUAUUAUAUAUAUAUAGGCCUAUAACUUUGCAAAGAAAUGCAUAGAAUCAAGAGAGAAAUGCUGUUGACUGCACACUGCAGCCUACUGCUCUUUCCCAUCUCUUCCAAAGCACCAAUGAGUAUUUAAUCAUCUCUCUCACCCCUAAAUGAGCUAAACUAACCCAAGGAGAUAAAGGCCCAUCUUCCCAGAGCAAGGGAUAAGGAGGAAAGCAGGAGGGAUGCUACAUCUCUUUGCAAUGAUGAGACUAAAAGCAAUGCCAAUGUUGAUGGACACACUCAACUUCACUUAGAUGCAAACAGAUGCAGAAAGGCUCUGUUGGCACACAGACACCAGCAUAGCAGAGCAAUUGGGAUAAGAGAAGGAGCUUAAAACAAAAGGAAGCCCAAUGUUAUUGAAGCCAAGAGUUGUGCUGAGUGAAUUCAGGUCCAAAAAAUUAGACCUUGUUCUUCAAAAAGAGAAAAGCCGCAACAUCUGAGCUGAACAGAAAUAUAUUUAGCAGAUUUAUUUUCCUUCCUUCCCACAUUUAAAUGGAGGCCGCUUUAAAACACUAAAUGAACUGCAGCAAAUUGGCACGGCGAUGAAAUUAAAUAAAAGAAAGUGGCUGUUGUAAUUUAAUUAGCCAAAAUAAGAACAGUAGAGGGGGGGAGGAGGAGAUGCCACCGGAACCACACGGCACUGGGAACAGAGCAUUUGCUUUGGACACUGGGUAUAUUUAGCUCAAUGCCUCGUUCAGAGGUAAGGCUGUGGCGUGGCCACAGAAGGCACAAGCAAUGUGAAUCCAGGCACAGGAAAGGCUUGUGGGAAGAAUCAAACAAACAGGGAGCUGGGAUAAAGGGCCUUUCAGGGCCCUAAGGGCUGCAGAGCAUUUAACCCGGAGCUGUUUGGGAGCUCCAGGCAGAGGGAACCCACCGACAUCACAUAGCUCUGCUCCUAUUUUAGGGACCACUGUUCGAUUUCUAUUUGGUGAUGCAAAACCAUUGCACAUUGCAUUUCUCAUUCCUCACAUGGACAGCAUCAAUCAUGCAGGAGAUGAACGGAGAGCUCAAAAAUCAUCUGUGCAACCCAUGCUCUGCCCUGCGCUAUCCUCUCCCCCCCAUUCCCAGCCCAUGCCAUAGGCUGCUGGUGACAUGUUUGAACUUCUGCAGCCGUUUGAUGUAAAAUGUUUUAAAUUCUUUUGGGGGAACACUAAAGGCUUUUGUCUCUUGACCGCUGCUGUGGGGAUGCCACAGCUGGCAAAGCGUGCUCACACAGUGCUAUUCAGCUGUGCCAUAUCCCACCGGGCUGACCAAGAGCUGGGAGCCGCUGUUAAUCAUUACACAGAGCUUUUUUCCAUUGGAAAGAAGGGAAACACAACACAGUGAUGCAAGCCCGAGCCCACCUUCCCUAAGGAAACACUGGCUGCUGGUCACUAUUCUGCUAUACAUUUCUCUCGAGGGCUCAGGUUUGGUUUGCACGACCCCUGAAGCAACAAGGUGCUGUCGCUUUUGUGCCAUUACUUUCUUACCUCUAGAGCAGAGCUCGUGGUAUAGAUCAUUUUAUGUGCAAUGAUAUUUAAGACCUUCGGAUGCAAAGCACUGCCAGUAAACUGUUAUUACUGUGCUGUGCAGUUGGCAGCAGGUUCUCCUGCACGAAGGAGUGUAAAUCUAUUUCCCGACCAGCUUUUACAUCCACCACAACCUGCCACCGUGCAGACACACAGCUCAUUAGGGCUGGUUUAGCUUCAUUUGGCUGUAAAGGGCCACAGGAAAAAACCUGCUGAUUAAACAUGCAAUUCAAAUACAUCUUCUGGAGCACAGCAGACAGUUCCUAGCACUUUAUCUGCACCGACUGAAAUGCAAUCUGUGCCACUUAGAGCAGAACAAUACUCCAUUUCUCCAUACUCCCCUUGAAUUGUUAGCACACAAAGCAGAAACGCAGCCCGUUUUCACAGAGAAGUUAUCUUCUGACAUACGACGUUAACUGAGUGUGUACAGAUCUGCUUCAAAGCCAAUAGGCUCCUUUCCUUCCAGCAAACACACUUCUUCACGUCUGCACACUCUUACUCUCUCCCCACUUCAAUAAUGAUAGCGUAUGGUAAAGCUCUCCAAACUGGAGCCACUGUAGAAAGGCUGUAUUUACUCAUGUUUGAGUAAGAACUAAUAAGAGACCUGGUUGUGUCUCAGCUCCUCCAAAUCCAAAAGGAAAAGGAAAAUAAAAAGGCAUCGAGUCAAUAUUUAUCCACCCGCUGGUGAAAUAAAUCCCCUCCUCCCCGGAGGAGAGGAGAAUAAAAUGCAGUGAUUGAAAUGGAUUUCACGGAAGGGGAUUUUUGUUUGUUUGCCUGUUGGUUUUCAGAGUUUGAGAGAUAUCUUCCCCUCCCCGUUGUGAUUUGAAUGGAAUAGGUGUGAAUGGAAGGCAUCCAUAGCAGCUUCACAGUGGGAUCUGCCAUUGAGGACCUGAAGCUCAGGAGCCUUUAUGCGCUUCCACUGAUGGGAGCAGCACUUGUGUGCUCUGUAUCACUCCUUAAGCCCCUGAUACACAGGAUAACAGGGGCAGCAGGUACUCCAGUCCCAUUGAUGUGUCUGUUGAAGGUAGCUGGACUUCCAACAGUGCCUGGGCCAAAUACAUGUCACAGAAGAGUGGAUGUCAGUAAAGUCACUUGGAUUUCACAUUUAAAAGCACAUCAUGAAGACAAACACAGUGAACUCUUGGUAAACUGUCUGCAUCCAAGUAGGGCAACUUCUACCACUUCUUAGGGGCAAAUAAGUGGGGGUUGCAUGAGCAGCUUCAGACACAGCACAGCAUUUCCACUGCACAGUAGCAUGGAGAAUUUGACCCUUAAAUACUUGAGAAGCACAGCCAAGGGGGCAGGCCCUCAUUCACACUGCCCAACAGCAUCACAUAGAGGGGCUGUUGUGCAGACGCAGUUGAGGCAUUUUUAAGCCUGUUUCUCAUUUCCCCAAAGUCUCCGGCACUGAAGAAGUCUUGUCACUGACCCGGGUUAGAUGAGGGUCAAGGUUUACACUCCAAAAACCAAGAAAGAAACGCUGUUUACUCUCCAGUUCCUCAGAAAACAGUCAAAUCCCUCUUCAUAUGGAACAUCUCAUUCGCGUGUCAUCAGCAAACAUUUCCACUGGCAAACUCACUGUGCUUCAACAUUUUCUUCACACACAGACCGACUGUGUGCUUUAUCAGUGCCAUCUCACUCCACAGGCAGCCUGACACCUGCCUUUCUCCUCCUGCUUUUCUCUGCCAUUUCUUUAUUACGAGCUCACAUUAAACUGUUGUUAAUGUGAGGGGGUGGAUGCCCCCUCCUUGGAAGCAUUUAAGGCCAGGCUGGAUGGGGCUGUGAGCAACCUGGUCUGCCAGGAGCUGCCUAUAGCAGGGGUUGGAACUACAUGAUCUUAAAGGUCCCUUCCAAUCCAAGCCAUUCUAUGAUUUCUUAUUUAGAUUUAAAAGGGCAGCUUUUAAUCUCACUGUGUCUUGAGAUGUUCUUCUCCGAACAGCACUUAUGAUUCCCUAUUCCCUUUUCCCACCCAACUCCACAUUUAGCUCAUGAGCAGGACCAAAAUGAACCAUGAGACUUUUCAUUAACCAGCAGAAUGGAAUACAAGAGACUACUUAGCAUUUCACAUCUCCAAAGCCCUGAAUAAGCACCAAGGCUCAGUGAGUGAUGUUGGGGAGGGAGGGGCACGAUGCUCUGCAAGGCUGGCACACACAUGAUGGCCCCACUGCUAUGGGGCAAGUACAGCCCUGGGCACCCACUGAUGUGGGCAGCCUGAUUCCCACCUCAGAGCAACAAGCAUGGGGCCCUGAGCCAGCCCUCCCCAUCAAACAUGCAAUGGAUAGGGCUGUAGUGCAAGAAAACGCUUUGAUGCACCCAGCACACCUUUCAUCAUCGCAUCCUAAAAGCCAUUAUUAAUGUGAGCUCUAACUCAUCACCACCCACACAGCUUUCCUUAAUUCACCAGCUGGACAUAGCAAGAGCUCCAGAUACUUAAAGGCUCCAUUCUGAAGGAGGAGAAGAACAUGGGGCUCCUCCACUGAGUCACAACCACACGGAGCUUCCCCUACCCACCCACCCUGCAUUCAGCAGCGCUGCAAACUGCACCCCUAUCCUACACAUGGUCAGCCAAGGGAACUCGCAGAGGAAAUUAAGUUUCUCUCUUCUUCUUGAGCUGUUUUUAAUUUCUUUCCUGACACGCCGUUAUUAGACAACAGGAACAAACUAGUUUCUGUGCAAAACUUUCCCUGAAGUAUUUGGAAGAUAGAGAGAAAUGGCAAGGUUUCUAUUUUCCUUCUUCUUUAAAGGAGAAAUAGCACUGAAUUAAUACGAACAGCACUGAUCAGCAUUUUAUUUUCUAGCUAUGACUUCUUAAUUUUUUUCCAGCCCUACAAAGACCACCCUCUCCCCAUAGCAAUGCUAGGAGGGGACUACGCUGAAAAUUAUAGUUUCCAGAGUUUGCAAGAGAACCACAAACGCUUAAUUAUAGUUAUUGACAUAGCAAACACCCACUGCAGGCUUAAUCUUCUCUUGGCCAGAAAUAACCACACCAAGUAAAGGUAGCAAACCAACAUCAGCCCCAGCCAAGGACAGCUCAGUAGUGCAUGGGCAUGAAGACGUGCCGUGCUCCUGCACAGCACCAUAGAGCCAGCAGCACUAACCUGGCAUGUUUGGGCUGGGUUUACUGUUAGCUGGGUUGCACGUUAGCUGUUUCAUAUGCCUUUCUCCCAGUUAAGCUUUGAAGAGCUCCUCUAUGUGCUGAGAGCAGCAGCUGUGCUCUGCACCAUCAGCACAUCCUUGCUGUGAGCAUCCCAUUUUCCAUGGGUGCUGGUGACAGUAGUCUGGAAUGGAGGCUUUGCAGUUGGAGCUGUGAUGCUGGGAGUGGGUAGAUGUGAACCCUAUUUGCUUGCUGGCUGUGCUGGCAGACCCUGAAGGAGCAGUGCCUGUGGGCAGCUCGCUGCCCUCUGAGCAGACUCCACGCUGCCAACAGCUGCAGUCACAUCAAAGCCCAUAUGUCUAAAGCGAUGCUAACAGUGUUAGAGAAGGUGAAGCACCAGCUGUUUUUUCCCAGGGAACCACAAGAGACUGAGUGCUGAUGGCACAUCACCAUGUGGCACUGAGCAGGCAUGCAGCUACCAUAAAAUCCCACAGACCAGGAACACGGCCUUGGAGAGGCAGGGAGGAACAUGGAUAAGAUGGGAGAUGAGGUGCAAGCCUUGAAAGGAUCUGAACAUUGUCACUAACAGCUCUGGGGGUAAAGAACUGAGCUAUUGGAAAUGAACCAUCCAUGGUGCACCAACAUGGGAUCAUAGAAACCUCCUUCAGUCUGAAGGAGAGAAAGAAAAUGGGAUAAAAGCUAAAUCUGAAUGGGCUGGUUAUUGAAAACAGAAGUGCUAUACUUAUUUGUUGCUCAUCUCCUAUGCACCAGCUUUAGUCCGCUGAAUAGCUACAGAAUUCACUGGCAUUAUUCCUAAUUUUACAAUGAUUUGGUAGAGAGGGGACAAAGGCAAGCAAACAAAGCUAAUUGCCUUCAGUGUUCUGUUUAUCUAUUUUUUGUUUGGCCAAACAAAGAGGACGUUCAGGUCCAAGCUGACUAUGGAGCCCACAGUUUGCAGUUUUGACAUCCGACAUCUUAGUAUUUACUCCUAUCAAGAGCUUCCUUAUCUCCAUCUGGUCACUACAGAGACUCUGGUGACUUCACUACUAUUACUACAGAUCAAUCAACCCUUGCAAAGUCCUUCAAAAAAGCAGGAAGUCCUCCAAAAGCCAAUCCUUUUUGUCAUAAAAAGAACAAAGCCAGGACUAGAUUAAUCACUGCAUGUUAUUUCCAAUACAAAAGUCCAAGCAGAAGAAGUUCCAGUUCUAAUAACAAAGCUAUGCAUUCUCACCCAUCCAUACCAGCGUGCUUUUGUUCUUUGUGCCAGACAAGAACACUCUGAGCAGAAAUGUAAAUAAUACAGCAUGCUCUGCAGGGAGAGCACGCUGCUGGAAGUAAGCAGCAGACUAUGGGCUGUAUGAACCACAAGCAACCAGUUUUACCAGGCUCAGCAUCUGCCAGUAUCUAUGAUUUCCCAACAUAGACUGAGUGAGGCAGCAGGGCUCCAACGUGGUUGGAGUAGAGGAGCAAUAUAAGGAAGAGGACAAAACCCCAGGCUGCUGUGAGAGCAAGACAUUUAAGAUAACCACCAGAACACAACAGGUUGUCCUGGGGUUCUGAGCAGAGGAUGGAGCUGGAUGAGCCUUUCAACAUCCAGUACAGACAAGACCAAGGGAGCUGAACCGGCUCAGGGCUUGCUGCUCAGCAACCAGGGCUAUUACAACACCUGCUCUACAAAAAUUUACGAUUCAUCCCUCCAGCUCAGCUGUAAGAGAAAGAUUUGGAUCUUUUAGAAUAUAAAUUAUUGCUUUCUAUCUACACAGACCUUUUUCAGAGCAGACCCACAAGGAACAAGGGAAAGCAGGGAGUGAGGAGAAGCCAAUGCAGACCGAUGCUCAGUCUGAUCCUGUUCCAAAGGGGAAAGUUUCGGAUAAGCUUGACUGAAAUACGAGCAAGAUAGGCUUCAAAUAAACCAAAGGGAGAGAACACACCAUUGUCUGAAACCAGCAGCUUUUACAAUGUCUAGGAAUAGGAAUAAGAAAAAUCAGAUGCAGAGCAUCACCUAAAACACCAUUUUACAUUGGGAUGAAAGCCAGCAGAGGGAAAAGAAAGCAUCAAGUUGGAGCCAGAUCUGCAUUUUGACAAAGAAAUUUUCGGGUCAUCCCUCAUUAUUUGUAAAGCUCUUAAAAACCAGCUUGCCUUCACAGAAUGGAAGCAAAGCUCUUAAUCUCACUUUGUAAACACAGAAGGAAACUGCAGGUUAAAGCCAAAGGUUUGGAAAGUGACUGGUUCAAGGUGCUUCCACUUCUGUACCCCUCUUGGUGACCCCAGAACAAAAGCCAUUGUUUCAGCAGCUUCAUUUGCCAAAAGCACUCCCCAUUUACACCCAUAAGAACCUGGUCAUUUUCCUACAUAUAGGAAAGCAUUUCCUACGUCCAAAAAUAUAUUUUUGAUAUCCUAACACUUUAUCAUCUUCUCCCAUUCCUCAUCUAUUUCUUUCCACCCAGCCAUAAGACUACUUGGAAAACAAUGUGAAUCAUUUUCAGUCUCCUACCCCUUUUCCUACACUGUGAGAUUCCUCAUUUCCAGUGACACCAACAAUCAGCAGGAAACUCAGCAUCUCAAUUUCCAAAAGGAAAAGAAGCGACAAACUGGGUCCGCCAUCUCCAAGCUUAUUGCUGAGAGCUGCUCUCAACCCCAAGGAAUCCUCCAAUGUUCUCCAAGGAAUUGGGUGCUCCCCCAGGUUUAGCCAAUGGUGUGAAGAUGAUGGUUGCUCUGCUAAAUGCCUCGGAUGGUUUUGGAGGAUCCCUGCUGCCUCCCAGCUCUCUGCCCUGGGAAAUCAAAGCGUGCUCUGCACUAUCUACCCACCAUCUCUAUCUGGAUCAGGGCUUUGCCUCAGAACAUCAGACCUCCCUGCCUCACACAUGGGGUGCAUUCAGACACAACCCAGGUGUUUCCUCAAUACAGUGCUUGGCAGUUGCAGCAUCUGCAAGUUUCUUCCUGGCUAACACAUCCCAGAGCAAGCACUGACAUGGCUUUAUGGGAGCACAGAGAUCAUACUGGAUGGUGAGAGACAUUCAUCAUGGAUUUGGAGGCUCCAAAUAGAACUUACACCUUCUUUCUGGACUUGCAGUAACUGCGCUGCUUUACACACACCUCUUCCUCACUUCUGCAUCCUCGUGUUAACCAUUUUCCUGUUACAUUCAUUAUGCACAUCCUAUGAACUACAAUAGAUUUUCUUUACUUGCUAUCACACCACACACAUUAACAGAGAUUAUCAGCAUCAUUGAGAGAUGCAUACAGCAAAACAUACCCCUCCACCCUGUACCAGAAGAAAGCUGGUCAUGCCCAGCCUUAUUCCAUUAUUCAGCCCUCUAUAGAAACUCCAUGCACAGCAACAAGAAUUCAGGCACCAAAAUGCAAACACGGAAUUGGUUCCACCAUUGAAUCGAAGGCAUUGUGGGCUCAGGAGGUGGAAACCCUGGUGCUGUAGGGAACAAGCAUCCCACAGAGCUGCAGGCAUUGGCUGCACGUUACCCCAGCCCAUGGUGGUCUUCUGGCUUCACUGCAGGUUCAUUUGCUGUGGGGAUGAGCGUGGAGUUCAUCCGUGCUUCCUUGCUCAUUAUGCAUUCCUCCCUCCCUGUUCCAAAUUAAUGAGAGUUUCUGCUCACUCAGCAGAAAUUAGAUGGAUCUGCUUUUAAAAAAGGGCAAUUAGCUCAGAGGAACCGGUGGUUCCUUCCUGUGUGCCAGGUGAGAACAGCGAGCAGAGAGAACUACAGCUAUGGGCUCCAGGAGCCUCCAGACACCUGGCUCCUACAGCAAGCAAAUUUCUCAUUGGGAAGCACCAGGAUUUCUUCCCCACAUCACAUUUUCUUCAGGCUCAUUUACCUCAUUGUGCUCAAGUGUGAGCCCAGCUUGUGGAUGUGUGGCUGGCAGCAGGAGGAAGCUCCCAGCACACAAACCCUGCUGCACGCCUCCUGUCCCCGACCCCUGGGGAUGCCUAAAGCCUCUCUGUUUGCUCAGGCUUUUCCUGAUCAAAGUGGGGAAGGCUCUUUCCAUUCUUAGAGCUGGGAAGGAAAGAACUACUAGCGCUGUCGGCGUUGCUUGCCAACGCAAUUCAUCUUUUGAGCCUGUAAAGCUGUGGUUAUAAGGACGCAGAGGGACGUGUCAUGUCGCUGGAACGAGAUGCUCAUACAGAUGUGGAAUCAGUACGGUCCAAAGAGCAGAAAGGGGAGAAGGUGGGGAAAGGCAGCCAAGAUCUCCAUUCAACUUUCCAUUUUAGAAAUGCAGAACACCACAUUUCCUACCAGAGGGCACAGGGGGAGAAAGAUGUUGGGCACUUUUGAGGAUUAAUCAGCAAUAUCAAAGUAAACAGAAAUUAAGACAAUAACAACUCAAUACGCAGCUCACUUAUGGGUAUUUUCAAGUCCUUACGUGACUGCUGAAACCCUAUAAUCUUCCACACUGCUACGUAAACAUCCUACGUAGAAGAUCACUAGAAAGCUUCGUUCUUAUUCCAGAACUCUAAUUCCAUCCUUGAACAGCAAAAGCAUGAACCUGUCUUUAAUUAUAAAUGACUGUCUCUUGUUAAUGUAACAGCCGGUCCUGAAUUCAUCAUGAACUAAAAAAGUUUUACUAAAAAAAGCUUUAGAGUUGGCUGGAAGGGGAAAAAAAAUAGAACCAAAAUGCCUAAAAAGAUUGUUGUAAUGGUCCUACCUUGUUAUUUCAUGAGUUUAGCAGACUGCAGUUAAACCCCUGCACAAAAGGAGGUGCUUUGGGAUUUCUCCUCUAUUCCCUACAGAAAGAGGCUGGAACUCUUCCCACCUUGCCAAGACUUGACUUCAGAGCCUCCUGCCUUCCCUCCAGCAGCAGUCAGCCCCAAAGGGAGCAGAUACAGUCCUGGGAGGUUAGAGGAGAUCCUAUGGACGGGAAUGCCUGCAGCUCCUUAUGGACAAUUAAAGCUUUAGCCAUGGGUGCCCCCUGGUGACUUGGUGAGUAAUUAAGCACAACCAUUGGAGUCUAAAAUGGCACAUCACAACGGAUACAGUCACGUUUGAGACACAGAUAACAGGCUGGUGCUUCAUACAGAGCAAAUCUCAAGUUCCAGGGAAGAUAAAGUUUUCCUUUGCUACAACUUUGCAGCUCAUUGUCUGGGGUGAUUUGGUUCUGUUCUGAUAUUUCUGCUGUGUACAAACACUCCUAAUUUGCUCCACUUUGAUUACCACAGCACAGAGGGGCAAAGUUGCACUUUGUCCCUACAUCAAACAGCAGCUACUUCAGUUCUAAGCCUCAAUCAAGACUUAAACGGGCUUAAUUUUCUACCUUUUGAUCAAAAAGCCUUUAGAACAGCACAUCCUCAGAUAUUGCUGCUGGCCUUCGAAAAUAAGCAGAAAGAACAAGACAGAACUUCUGCUUCCUCCAAUCCAUUGCUUCAUCUUCAUCUUGGGAAGCAUAAAUAGGUAUUUUGUCUCCCAAAUCCCUGCACACUGUGCAGAUUCAGAAUGUGAGAUCUGAAGUCCAAAGCUGAAUUUAGCUGUGACCAAUUGCAUGAGUCAAGUCGUCUCUCUUUGGUACUCCAAUGAAGGCAACUCUUUUAAUGGUGGCAGCUUGGGAAAAUACACCAAAAAUUAUAAAACCACCCAUAAAAUAAAUAAGGAAUUCCACUGCUAUUUGAAUCCCUCAGUACAUACAAGUGAGAGAAACAGGGUUAGGAAAUGUUAGACUGCUUUUAUAAUUCCUUCAGGACCAACCAGACUGGCUGCGCUGCAGAUGAUUGCUGGAAAUAUUAGGAUCAUUACAGGAAUGGCUUAUGAAGAUUAACUCUAGUGAAUGCAGAGUUUCAGGCAUGGUUCUGUCUCUCCCAUCACCAAAGUCACUGUGCACAUACACGGCUUUAGCUGCUACAGGACUCAUGAAAACCUCACCAGGUUUCAUUGCUUUGAUGCCAAAAGUGUAAUAAGAUGUUUUGGGAAACUAGUUUCAAGGCCACAUUAAUGAGCACCACCAUCAUGUGGGACAUUUGCUUCUUCCAUCUGUUGAAGCAAAGCUAUCAUAGCUGCAUCAAAUCUACGCAAAGCUGAAAAACCACAACUCCUUCACAAACAUGGAAAUACCACUGGAAAAGCUUUAUGAGUGCCAUGAGCCUAUGGUACAGUCGCACUGUUCUCAUGGGCAGUGCAGGUGCUUGGGGUGGGUGAGCUCUAAUGGUCCCUUCCAACCCAAACCAUGGUUUCUAAGCCCUUUCUAAACCAUUCCGUGGUUUCGAAGUGCCAGAACUUUCAUUUCAGAUAAAAAAAAUAAACAUUAAUUUUGAAAUGGAGACAGCAAAAUUUCAAUGUGCAAACACAGGAGAAAGCUUCUUGGGCUUGAUUCUGUUGUUCCAGCUGAAAACUACUUAGAACUGACCCGAUGUGAACAACUCUUUGCAUGUACAUUAUUCAUCCAAAAGACGCCUUUGCUCAGUUCCAAACAUUCACAUCUUACACAUUGUUUUGCAGCUAAGAAAUGUAUGUAUGAGGAUUUCCAUCAGCUACACAAGAGGAUCCAGACCUACAUUAGCAGGAGAUUCUUUCCCUGUUGCUUUGGCCUCAGUUUAGGGGCUGCUACAGAGGUAAAGCUGAUGCCUGAAGCCCAGCAAUGCUGCUGGGCUGAAAUCAGGCUUGUUUGCAUCUCUCUCCCAAUUUUUGGGGCACCAAACCCACUCUGAGGUCCCACCACGGGGGCACCAAUUUCACCAUCCUGCUGAGCAUCAGGAGACUGCAGCAUCAAAGAGGGGGGAGGGUUUGUUCACAGAUUAACAGUUAACAGCAUUAUAAGGCACUUCUGGAGAUGUGCACCCAAAUCUUCUGUUCCUCAUUAAGAUUAAUGAAAGGUUUGGAUUUGAAUCCCUAUGCUUCCUCAGAAACCUCAGUCAUUACGGUUCAGAAGUCAUCUCUGUCCUACAAACCCUCCCAGGAUGAUUUAUGAAGCGAUACAUGCACUAUUUAUUUCUUUUUAAAGUCACAGUUGUUACUUAAAGCUGAACUGCACGUUGGGGUAAAGAAAAAAAAACAAGGCUUUAGGGAUGCACUGAUGGAACAGAUUCAAUGGAAGGGAUCAGAGCCUUUUAGGGGCUGAAGCAUCAAUGACACAAAAAGCAAAGAGAGCUGAAGCAGCUGCGCUGUAACCAUUUCUGCAGUUCAUUUUCCAAGAGCUUCUCCUUUGCACCAAGCUUCUGCUCUCAGAGUGGAACACGAGUGACGUGAAUGCUAAGCAGAGUCAGGCUCUGAUGGUUGCCAUUACCUAAUGCUGUGCUGUGACACAAAUGCUGCUCUUAGGAAUAUUCCAAGGGCUCAGGAAGAGGCUUACAAGAGCUCACAGUGUUCCUGCUGCCCACCACGAACGCUGCCUUUACCCAUGGUGGAACCACGCUUGUGCUCCUGCAUGGAGCCAAAGAAUGACAGCGAACCUCAGCAAUGCUGAGGAGAGGUUCCCUCAACCUCUGAGAAGACUGGUUCAGUCUGUGAUUACAACUCCCUGGAAAUUGCUACGUAGACAUCACUGGAGCAUAACAUUUCAUCAGGAGCCCCCAAAAUAUCCCUGCAAAUACAUGCUGGGGAAGGCUAAAAAGACCUCACAGGCACAGAAGAUCACAGAAAACCUAUUAUCUGUCUGCAGCACUGAAGCAUCCAUCUGUCAACACGGGACCUUUCAGAGAGCGUUGCAGCCACCCACUAAAUGGGUUUUUGAUUAGCCAUGGUAUUUAAAACAACCACAGACUUCUACGGCAAACGCGGGGCUGCCAGGCAAAGGGUCAGGCCCAAAACUCAGCCCAACUUCACCGCAUUCUUCCACUGCUUCUGGGCUGAAGUUCAAGUGAACUUCUUGAUGGGGAGAUGGGUUUAAGUUUAAAACUGGCAACCCUGCCUGAUUUUAUCACAAGUCUCAUGACGCUCGGCACGUUGCUUUCAACCUCAGCCUUUGGAAACUGGCACAAUGAAUUCAAGCUCUGCUUACAACCCGCCCUCCCCCCAAACCUCUACUCCAUGUAGAUACGAGACAUGAAUCCUACACACACACAUAGGACACAGAAGGAAAGGACUACACGAAGCUUCAUUUGUCUCCUUAUUCUUGGGACACAUACAACUUUUUGAACAUCUGGUAUUAAUAGCUUGUUACUGCAAUAAGAACAUGAAAACUUGCUUUCA